rnacentral:sRNA from 1 species
UGUAAAUAAGGGGUAGGACUAAAGCACUCCUCCUGGAGGACUGAGAGAUGGGCUGGACUGGAGCACUUAAGUCUGGGAUGUGUGACCAGGCUGGCUUUGUCUCCCUGUCCUGUUCCUUCCCCCAGCCCCAAAUCCAGGGUUUCCCAAAGUGUGGUUCAAGAACCACCUGCAUCUGAAUCUAGAGGUACUGGAUACAACCCCAUGUCUGGGCCAUUACCCAGGACAUUCUACAUGAGAACGUGGGAGUGGGGCCCUGGCUGCACCUGAACUGUCACCUGGAGUCAGGGUGGAGGGCUGGAAGCCCAGGAAGGUGGAAGAACUGGGUCUUAUUUCCUUCUUCCCAUGUUCUUUAGGGUCUGCCCUUCUGCAGACUUCGUUACCCCACCCUCACCAUCCUGCACACCCUUGGAGCCCUCUGGGCCAAUGCCCUGUCCCGCAAAGGGCUUCUCGGGCAUCUCACCUCUAUGGGAGGGCAGUUUUGGUCCCCAGAACCUUACACAGUGUUUAUGUGGGGAAGCCCUUGGGAAGCAGACAGUCCUAGGGUGAAGCUGAGAGGCAGAGAGAAGGGGAGACAGAGAGAGGGUGGGGCUUUUCCCCUUGUCUCCAGUGCCCUUUCUGGUGACCCUCGGUUCUUUUUCCCCACCACGCCCCCAGCGGAGCCCAUCGUGGUGAGGCUUAAGGAGGUCCGACUGCAGAGGGACGACUUCGAGAUUCUGAAGGUGAUCGGACGUGGGGCGUUCAGCGAGGUAGCGGUAGUGAAGAUGAAGCAGACGGGCCAGGUGUAUGCCAUGAAGAUCAUGAACAAGUGGGACAUGCUGAAGAGGGGCGAGGUGAGGGGCUGGGCGGGCGUGGGGGGCUUUGAGGAUCCGCGCCCCGUCUCCAGCUGCAGCUCCUCCGGGUGCCCUGCAGGUGUCGUGCUUCCGUGAGGAGAGGGACGUGUUGGUGAAUGGGGACCGGCGGUGGAUCACGCAGCUGCACUUCGCCUUCCAGGAUGAGAACUACUUGGUGAGCUCUGGGCCGGGGUGACUAGGAAGAGGGACAGAGCCCGUGCUGUCACUGGACGAGGAGGUGGGGAGAGGAAGCUCUAGGAUUGGGGGUGCUGCCCAGAAACGUCUGUGGGAAAGUCUGUGUGCGGUGAGAGGGUGUGUCAGGUGGAUGAGGGGCCUUCCCUAUCUGGGACGGGGAUGGUGUCCCUCACUGCCCGUUUCUGGGGUGAUUUGGGGGACUCCUAUAAAGAUGUUUCUGUUGCGGGGGGGUCUCCUGGAAUGGGAUAGGUCUUCAGGAAUUCUAACGGGGCCACUGCCUAGGGAGGGAGUGUCUGGGACCUAUUCUCUGGGUGUUGGGUGGCCUCUGGGUUCUCUUUCCCAGAACAUCUCAGAGGGAGUGAAUCUGCCCAGUGACAUCCCAGGAAAGUUUUUUUGUUUGUGUUUUUUUUCGAGGGGCAGGGGGCGGGGGCCGCAAGUGGUCUCUGAUUUGGCCCAGCAGAUCUCUAUGGUUAUCUCUGGGCUGGGGCUGCAGGUCUCUGCCCAGGGAUGGGGUGUCUCUGGGAGGGGUUGUCCCAGCCAUCCGUGAUGGAUCAGGGCCUCAGGGGACUACCAACCACCCAUGACGAACCCCUUCUCAGUACCUGGUCAUGGAGUAUUACGUGGGCGGGGACCUGCUGACACUGCUGAGCAAGUUUGGGGAGCGGAUUCCAGCCGAGAUGGCGCGCUUCUACCU